UAGUGUGUAUAAUAUGCGUACAUAAUAAAUAAGUGUUUUAAAUUUAAUGUAAAUAAAUUAAACUACCAUAAUAGAUAAAAGUAUAAAAAGCUUGAUCCGCUCCUUUAUAUCCUUAGCCUUUUACAUGUACACCUGUAUAUAGAUAAUUAGUUACCUUAGGGCAGUUCAAAGGUUUUGGAGUGUUAUUGGUUCUUAUUGGUAGUUUGGUUGUGAAGUUGGAUUUCAUUGGUUUUAUUCUUAUGGUCAUUGGUUUUACCGCCAAAAUAUUCAUUCUUUGUCUUGUUGAGAAAUGACCAAGACAGUGUAUUUUAUGGACUCCAUGACUUUGACCUUUGGAGACUGACAAUUUCCAUUUUCUGAGUCCAUAUACAUGUUGUGUAAAAGCUGUAAACAUCACACAUUCAUGUGGUAGCCUUUUCCCACAGAAUGGGCUAUAUAAACUGUAUAUCAUAAGCUCACUGUGUCGAAUAAAUAUAUGACCUGAACCCUAACAGAGGAGUACGUGUUAUUUCUUCAUCACCACCCCCUGUUACAAUUUGGCGCCCAUGUAGGGACACAGUGACGCACAACAGUGAACGGAGAGGACUGGGCGUGGUACAUCCCUGAUGGUAUUCCACAGAGACGUCAUUCGUGACUGGUACCUUGAGCAUUCAGCGAUUCGUGAUUGACACUUCAGAGUGAACACAGAACAGUGUAUGUGAUUCCAUUGUUUUGCGCGUGACUGAUCAGAACAUUUGUGUGUUUGCUGAUAGUGACAGUGUAGUGAUUCGCAGCUGCAUGCAUGCUUCAUCGACCUGAUUGGUGCACCCGGAUCCAAAGACACUAGAUAAGGUUUUCUUUAGAUAAGAUUUUCUUAGAUUGAUACA